UACGUAGGGGGCUAGCGUUGUCCGGAUUUAUUGGGCGUAAAGAGCGUGUAGGCGGCCAGGUAGGUCUGCUGUGAAAACUCGAGGCUCAACCUCGAGAUGUCAGCGGAAACCAUCUGGCUAGAGUCCGGAAGAGGAAAGUGGAAUUCCUGGUGUAGCGGUGAAAUGCGCAGAUAUCAGGAAGAACACCCGUGGCGAAGGCGGCUUUCUGGGACGGUACUGACGCUGAGACGCGAAAGCGUGGGGAGCGAACAGG
rnacentral:rRNA from 1 species